UGUAGCUCAGUGAUAGAGCACUUGCCUGGCAUGCAUGAGGCCCUGGGUUCAAUCCCCCAGUACAA
rnacentral:tRNA from 1 species